UUGCAAACGUGAUUACUAGCUCUGCAUGAUGUGGCAAAAGCAGGGGAACAGGUUUGCUAAAUUAAAUGUGGUAACAGAAGCUUUAGAAAUAAUAUGAAGGCUGUUUAUUCUGUACCAUAACAACU